rnacentral:rRNA from 1 species
AGCGAACGCUGGCGGCAGGCCUAACACAUGCAAGUCGAACGAAGUCCUCGGACUUAGUGGCGGACGGGUGAGUAACACGUGGGAACGUGCCUUUAGGUUCGGUAUAACUCAGGGAAACUUGUGCUAAUACCGCAUGUGCCCUUCGGGGGACAGAUUGAUCACCUUUAGAGCGGCCCGCGUCUGAUUAGCUAGUUGGUGAGGUAAAGGCUCACCAAGGCUACGAUCAGUAGCUGGUCUGAGAGGAUGACCAGCCACAGUGGGACUGAGACACGGCCCAAACUCCUACGGUAGGCAGCAGUGGGGAAUCUUGCGCAAUGGGCGAAAGCCGGACGCAGCCAUGUCGCGUGGAUGAUGAAGGUCUUAGGAUUGUAAAAUCCUUUCACCGGUGAAGAUAAUGACGGUAGCCGGAGAAGAGGCCCCGGCUAACUUCGUGCCAGCCGCCGCAGUAAUAC